UUGAACGCUGGCGGCAUGCUUUACACAUGCAAGUCGAACGGCAGCGCGGGCUUCGGCCUGGCGGCGAGUGGCGAACGGGUGAGUAAUACAUCGGAACGUGCCCAGUAGUGGGGGAUAGCUCGGCGAAAGCCGGAUUAAUACCGCAUACGACCUGAGGGUGAAAGCGGGGGAUCUUCGGACCUCGCGCUAUUGGAGCGGCCGAUGGCAGAUUAGCUAGUUGGUGGGGUAAAGGCCUACCAAGGCGACGAUCUGUAGCUGGUCUGAGAGGACGACCAGCCACACUGGGACUGAGACACGGCCCAGACUCCUACGGGAGGCAGCAGUGGGGAAUUUUGGACAAUGGGCGAAAGCCUGAUCUAGCAAUGCCGCGUGUGUGAUGAAGGCCUUCGGGUUGUAAAGCACUUUUGGCGGGAACGAAAAGGACUGUGCCAAUACCACGGUUCGAUGACGGUACCCGCAGAAUAAGCACCGGCUAACUACGUG
rnacentral:rRNA from 1 species